GGAGGGUGCAAGCGUUAAUCGGAAUUACUGGGCGUAAAGCGCACGCAGGCGGUUGGAUAAGUUAGAUGUGAAAGCCCCGGGCUCAACCUGGGAAUUGCAUUUAAAACUGUCCAGCUAGAGUCUUGUAGAGGGGGGUAGAAUUCCAGGUGUAGCGGUGAAAUACGUAGAGAUCUGGAGGAAUACCGGUGGCGAAGGCGGCCCCCUGGACAAAGACUGACGCUCAGGUGCGAAAGCGUGGGGAGCAAACAGGAUUAGAUACCCUGGUAGUCCACGCCGUAAACGAUGUCGAUUUGGAGGCUGUGUCCUUGAGACGUGGCUUCCGGAGSKRACGCGUUAAAUCGACCGCCUGGGGAGUACGGCCGCAA
rnacentral:rRNA from 1 species